CAAGGGACAUGAACUGGCUAUCACCCUUCAGGGACACUGAUGCUCCUACAUGAUGGUGAAGAACAAGUUUACAUGGAUUUGGCCUCAUGGCUCCAAGCAGUGCCCAAGCAUGAUCACCCAGGUGAAUGGAUACGUCCAACCGAAUGCUUUGACAUUCAAGCUAGAAUCCCUCUGGCAGAGAAGCAGAAAAUCAAGGUGAAAUCACUCAAGGGAAAACACGGAGAUCCCCCCUAUCUCCACCCCAAU